AAGGCAGGAUGUGGGCACUUCCUUAGCAUCUCUUUGUAUCUCUUCGAUGCUUCAUAGAGUGAUUCUCCUUUCUUUUAAGUGAACGUAUAAAUCUCAUUCCUCAAUCU